CCACAGUAGUAAUGGCGACAUCUUGGUCUUAAAAAGCGGCUACGUUUCUACUCAGUUUGCGUCUCUAUCGGACACAUGUAACCACAGGUAUGGUAGGUGGCUCCCAGAUUCUACUGUGAGCAACAAUUAGCAGCAGCAGGAGACGUCUCCAAUGCCACCACUAAUCAUUGCUUUCCGAGGACCGCUGCCACCGGAGAUGGAUCAGCUCCCUGUUACUACUCCGUGUUCGUUCCUGAAACACUAUGCAUCUAUCUGAGUUAUCUAUUAGAGAUCCAAGUGCAGAAUAACCUUGCAUUUGCAGGUUGCAGUAGUACCUGCCAGUUGCCACUGUGCCAUCUGAUAAUGAUGUCAGACAUAUAGAAGCUCCAGUACUCUUUUGAGUUCCUAUCUUGGCAGAAGAAGGAUUUUGCAGUAAGGUAGAAGCUGUAGCUGGCGAAGACGACUGCACGAGCUUCCUUUUCAUCCCAUUCUCUGUGAUAAGGAAGCUAAUGUCAGUGAUGCGUGAGCUCCUGUUGCGGAAUGUGGUAUGAAGUAUGAUGCUCAACAUGGACAGCAAAAGAACGAGGUUAGGAAAGAGAGGAAGGGGGGGGGGGGUGGAGUGGAGGGGUCUGUCUUAACCACUGCCUUGUCUGCUAAAUCUCACAAAUCUCUUCCGUGUGGCUAAAGCACGGGAGAAGUGAAGAGAAGGAGCAUAGGGACCAUACGCGAGUCAGAGGCCAAACUCUGCAGGCGAAGUAAUAGCAGACGGUGGCGUUGCAGUCGAAGAGCUGUUCUCGUCGUCGGAAAUGGAGGCAGUCGGUGGCAGGGAGCUGCAACCUUGAAGAACUACAAGUGAGGGGAAGAAAGCUCUUGCUAUAAGAGGAGAAGCGGAGGAGGAGGGUUAGCACUCCAAUCAUUUGAUUUAAGCAUGGACGCCUACGAGGCGACGAGGAUAGUGUUCUCCAGGAUCCAGAACCUGGACCCGGAGCACGCCCCCAAGAUCAUGGGGUUGCUCCUGCUGCAGGAGCACGGCGAGAAGGAGAUGAUUCGCUUGGCCUUCGGCCCCGAGUCACUCCUGCGCUCCCUCGUCUUGAAAGCUUGGAAGGAACUCGGCCUCGUCCCGGACCCGAGCUCCUCUGCCCCCUGCACGCCAUUCGGCGGCGGCAGUUCGGCUUCCCCCUUCCUCCUCCGCCAGAACUCCGCCUCCCGCCUUCCCGCAAGGGGGCUCCCGUCGCCGCUCGCUGUCUCCUCCCCGUCCUCAUGGCGCUCCGACAGCAGUAGCGGCUGCAACGGUCUGAAUGGGUCGUCGGACGAAUUCCAGAACUCGGACGAGCUCAUGAGCCCCGGUAAUCUCAGAGCGUCACCCUUCUAUGGCGUCGGUGGCGACGGUGGGGACCUAAUUGAUGAGUUUCAUCGCUCGGACCAGCUUUCCUUCCUCAGCGACGCCGCCGCCGCCGCCGCCGCCUCUGAUUACAGCUACCCCCUUUCUUUCGCCUCGAAGCACGUAGGCGACGUGUUUCAACCGGACCUCGAGUGUCGGAGCCCCAGCAGCAACGGCGAUUGUACGCUCUUCCCUUACGGGGUGGGCUCGGGAGUCGACGGCUACUACCACCGUCGGAGCUGCUCCGCCGCGGACCUCGGCCUCGGUGAUCCCGCUGCCGGGUUCGGAUGGAGGCCGUGCCUCUACUUUGCUAGGGGCUACUGCAAGAAUGGUACUGCGUGCCGGUUCCUCCAUGGGCUCCCAGAGGAAGCUGUGGUCGCGCCCUCCGUGGUCGGCGGCACCAAGAUGGAUGCGGUGUUGGAGCAGCAGUGCCAGGAGCUGCUAUUAAGGUCUAAGAGCCAGAGGAUCGAUGGCGUUUCACAGCUCAUGGCCUCUGCGUUUCCAUACUCCCAGACGGGCUCAGUGCCACCAUCUCCGUCGUUGUCCUCCAGCAAUUCCCUGAGCUUCUUGCUUCAGCAGCAGCAGCAAAAUGAGAGCCAAAGGGCUACAGCUGUGGCGGCGGCAGCAGCACUGAUGCUGGGGGGGGAUGAUACCCACAAGUUUGUCUGCAGAUCAAGAUUCGAAAGAAACGAUUUGAUGGCAAAUCCUGGUUCGAGGCAGAUCUACUUGACCUUCCCAGCUGACAGCAUCUUCAGCGAGGAGGAUGUCUCUAACUACUUUAGCAUCUAUGGGCCUGUGCACGACGUGAGGAUCCCUUACCAGCAGAAGAGGAUGUUUGGCUUCGUGACCUUCGUCUACCCGGAGACUGUGAAGCUGAUCUUGGCUAAGGGCAACCCGCACUUCGUAUGUGAUUCCCGAGUUCUUGUCAAGCCCUACAAGGAGAAGGGAAAAGUCCCCGACAAGUACAGGAAACAGCAGCAGCAUGCUGAGAGAGGAGGUGAUUUCUCUAUGUGCAUGUCUCCCACAGCCUUGGACGCUACCGAAGCCUAUGACCUUCAACAGCUUGGAGCAAGGAGGUUGUACAACGGCAGCAGUCAGGAACUACUGCUGAGAAGGAAGCUAAUGGAGCAGCAGCAACAAGCAGCAGAACUGCAGCGAGCCAUUGAGCUGCAAGGGAGUCGAUUUAUGAAUCUCCAGCUCAAUCUCAACAAAAGUGGCCUCUCCAACUCCCCCGCUAUCGCAGUCACUCAAUCACUUAGUGAUGUUGAUAGGAGCAGUAAUACCAGCAGUAGUAGCAGCAGUAGCCAUGAAGGAUCACCAACAGAGGAAAAGAGCCUCGGUGCCGUGUUACCAGAAGAGAAGCCCAACAGUUCCGAUGGGUUACUCCAGCAGAAGGCAGAUAAGGAGGAAUCUGCUGGUGAGCCGAACCCCAAAGAAGACGGUGAUUUCCAACCAAGCAUUGAGCAUAACCUGCCUGAUAGCCCAUUUGCUUCCCCGACAAAAUCCUCAUCCAUGCUCGACUCUUUCACUGCCAGUGAAGACGUGGCUACUUCAUACAUUGUGAACAACAGCAGCACCAAGGACUACUUACUUGCCUCCACAUUGCUGCCCACCACUUUGUCUCUAGACAUGCCUUCCUUCAGCUCAUGCUUCUUCCAGAUGCCAAGCAGGUUCUCUGGUCAAGGAGAAAUUGGAAUGUAGACCUGAAGAAUCCCAGUGGAGUGAUCGAGGCCUCCCCUUAAAGGUAUCUCCUAGUAAAGCAAAAGGAUAGUGGAACAUAAGAAAAGAGAAGCUGCAGAAUGGUUCAAGGUUUAUGGUUCCCCCCUUUUUUUUCUAAUUUUUUCCUUAUAGUUUCUAAGUGUAAGCAUUAUAGGAAGGUCUUCCAGUGUCACCUCACAUUCCCUUAUCUACAGAAAAUUAGAGAAUUAUGACAAGGAAUAGCUGCCAUCUAUGAGCAAUCAAUCAGCCAAUACACCAGCCAUACAUCCCUACCUCUGAUAUUGCUAUUGCCACCAACUAAUACUAUCUAUAGCUACCCAUCACAACCCACCAAGAUAUAUAAUAAUCUACUACACAGAAUACAGACGACGACAAAGAACAUGACAUAAAGCCAGACUGAUUACUGUGACGGAAUAGGUCAGCAGGAAAAAAAAGAGCAGCAGAGAUGAUGGACUACUUCCAAGUCAGGGUGUAUGGGGAGCAAAAGAGAAGAGUUGGAAGUUGUGCAUGCCUGCAAGCGUUCGUGUUCCUCCUUGAUGCCUUGGGAGCAGGGAGGGAAAAAUGAAGGACCAGGGUGCAGACUCUGUGAUGUCACUAUUUCGAAACAGGAUGAGAUAAAGAGUUGGCAGUAUGAGUGGAUAAGCUCUUAGGCCAACAUAGAGGUGACUCCAAAGGCAAGCAUUCAACCAGCUAUAGCUGUGGAUCCUCCACACAUGAGAUAGAGACCUGUCUCUGUUUUAGAUCCAUUUUCCAUGUGGGCAUGAGAUUUCAUCUCCUACACAAUCUAUGCAUUCUGAAUUAGCCUUGCA